rnacentral:tRNA from 1 species
GCGGGAGUAGCUCAGUUGGUUAGAGCGUCUGGCUGUGGUCCAGAAGGUCGUGGGUUCAAUUCCCAUCUCUCGCC